UACGGGGGGGGCAAGCGUUGUUCGGAAUUACUGGGCGUAAAGGGCUCGUAGGUGGCCAACUAAGUCGGACGUGAAAUCCCCAGGCUCAACUUGGGAACUGCGUCCGAUACUGGAUGGCUUGAAUUCGGGAGAGGGAUGCAGAAUUCCAGGUGUAGCGGUGAAAUGCGUAGAUAUCUGCAGGAAUACCGGUGGCGAAGGCGGCAUCCUGGACCGAGAUUGACACUGAUGAGCGAAAGCCAGGGGAGCAAACGGG
rnacentral:rRNA from 1 species